rnacentral:rRNA from 1 species
UGGGGAAUAUUGCACAAUGGGCGCAAGCCUGAUGCAGCCAUGCCGCGUGUAUGAAGAAGGCCUUCGGGUUGUAAAGUACUUUCAGCGGGGAGGAAGGUGUUGAGGUUAAUAACCUCAGCAAUUGACGUUACCCGCAGAAGAAGCACCGGCUAACUCCGUGCCAGCAGCCGCGGUAUACGGAGGGUGCAAGCGUUAAUCGGAAUUACUGGGCGUAAAGCGCACGCAGGCGGUCUGUCAAGUCGGAUGUGAAAUCCCCGGGCUCAACCUGGGAACUGCAUUCGAAACUGGCAGGCUAGAGUCUUGUAGAGGGGGGUAGAAUUCCAGGUGUAGCGGUGAAAUGCGUAGAGAUCUGGAGGAAUACCGGUGGCGAAGGCGGCCCCCUGGACAAAGACUGACGCUCAGGUGCGAAAGCGUGGGGAGCAAACA